ACCGUGCCUGGCCUGCACACAGGUUGUUUUAAAAUGAAAACCAGAGACCCAGCAUGUGCUCGCCAUGGCAGAGUCUCAGCCACCUUAGGAAGCUGCAGCUGGAAAGAGCCAAAAUCUCACCCCGCCCACAGAGAGGGAAAUGAGGCCCCAAGAGGGGAAGUGAGACACCUAGAACCCAGGCUCCUCACUCUUCCCCAGCAGGUUUGAGAAUAGCCAGCCUUCAGGGACAGGGGACUGAGAAACUCCAGACAGAACGAAGUCCGCCUGGAGGUCACUCUCUGAUUAGCGGACGAAUGAUGCCCAGAAAAAAUAUUCCAAAGUGCCUUCCAAGACUGAACCAAUGAUAUCUGAGCCAAUCCAACUGACUCAGUAGCCACCCUAUCCUCAAGGAUCUUGGGAUGUGCAUUCCCAUCUCCCACACAGCCCUCCUGACACUCCCCACAGGGGAGCUUUCACCCGGCACACCAUGGCCAGUACCGCCUAGCGAACACACUCCCACCCCACACCCCAAAGUUCAUAGCUGAGGAUAAGCCAUUUGCUAGUGGACUCGGUUCUCGCAGAAGGGAGGACUGCUGCCAUCUGCACAUCAGCUG